UGUCUGGAUUGCUAAUCCUCUAGGUAUGCGUUUCAUCUCCUAAUGGUAGACUGCUGGAGACACCCUGGAAAAGGCAUCUUAGUGUCCUGAAGCCCCUCCCAGGAAAGAGAAGAACACCCGGAAGGGGGGAGCUUGACAUCACUUAAUAAAGCCCGUAUAUAAAUAAGGAUUGCAUAGGUCUUCACUACUUGGAAGAGUUUGGCCUCUCUAAGAUGGAGUCAUGGCAGCGGUGAGCAGGAUAUGGGAAGCUGACAUCAUACUCAGUCACUGGACACAGCUAUGGGGCCCCUGGCUUCCUGAUGACCGAGAUCUUUCUUCCUCAUUAAAAGCGGGACUGGUCUCUGCUCUCCUUCUGUACUUUACAUGGCUGUCACCGCUAAUCUUCACAAAUUUAUCUUCAUU
rnacentral:lncRNA from 1 species